rnacentral:rRNA from 1 species
GCCGGGAAAGUUCGUCAAACUCGGUCAUUUAGAGGAAGUAAAAGUCGUAACAAGGUUUCCGUAGGUGAACCUGCGGAAGGAUCAUUACCUAGAGUUGUAGGCUUUGCCUGCUAUCUCUUACCCAUGUCUUUUGAGUACUUACGUUUCCUCGGCGGGUCCGCCCGCCGAUUGGACAAUUUAAACCAUUUGCAGUUGCAAUCAGCGUCUGAAAAACUUUAAUAGUUACAACUUUCAACAACGGAUCUCUUGGUUCUGGCAUCGAUGAAGAACGCAGCGAAAUGCGAUAAGUAGUGUGAAUUGCAGAAUUCAGUGAAUCAUCGAAUCUUUGAACGCACAUUGCGCCCCUUGGUAUUCCAUGGGGCAUGCCUGUUCGAGCGUCAUUUGUACCUUCAAGCUUUGCUUGGUGUUGGGUGUUUGUCUCGCCUCUGCGUGUAGACUCGCCUCAAAACAAUUGGCAGCCGGCGUAUUGAUUUCGGAGCGCAGUACAUCUCGCGCUUUGCACUCAUAACGACGACGUCCAAAAGUACAUUUUUACACUCUUGACCUCGGAUCAGGUAGGGAUACCCGCUGAACUUAAGCAUAUCAAUAAGCGGAGGAAAAGAAACCAACAGGGAUUGCCCUAGUAACGGCGAGUGAAGCGGCAACAGCUCAAAUUUGAAAUCUGGCGUCUUCGGCGUCCGAGUUGUAAUUUGCAGAGGGCGCUUUGGCAUCGGCAGCGGUCCAAGUUCCUUGGAACAGGACG